CCUACGGGGGGCAGCAGUGGGGAAUAUUGGGCAAUGGGCGCAAGCCUGACCCAGCAACGCCGCGUGAGGGAAGACGGUCCUAUGGAUUGUAAACCUCUUUUGUCGGGGAGCAACGAGGCCACGUGUGGCCGAAGUGAGAGUACCCGAAGAAAAAGCAUAGGCUAAAUCCGUGCCAGCAGCCGAGGUAAUACGGAGGAUGCGAGCGUUAGCCGGAUUUAUUGGGUUUAAAGGGUGCGUAGGCGGAACAUUAAGUCAGCGGUAAAAUCGAGGGGCUCAACCCCUUUAAGCCGUUGAAACUGGUGAUCUUGAGUGGGCGAGAAGUAUGCGGAAUGCGUGGUGUAGCGGUGAAAUGCAUAGAUAUCACGCAGAACUCCGAUUGCGAAGGCAGCAUACCGGCGCCCGACUGACGCUGAGGCACGAAAGCGUGGGGAUCGAACAGGAUUAGAUACCCGGGUAGUC
rnacentral:rRNA from 1 species